AGUAUUAGGUGAAGUCAAUGAUCCCAUGCUGCCAAGAAAAGCCUCUAGCGAGCUUCGAGCGGCCCGUACCCCAAACCGACACAGGUGGUCAGGUAGAGAAUACCGAGGCGAUCGGGCGAACUGUGGUUAAGGAACUCGGCAAAUUACCCCCGUAACUUCGGGAGAAGGGGGGCCACAGACUGUCAUACCCCACGCGGGUGGCAGCGGUAGGUGGCCGCAGAGACCAGGGGGAAGCGACUGUUUACUAAAAACACAGGUCCGUGCGAAGUCGUAAGACGAUGUAUACGGACUGACGCCUGCCCGGUGCUGGAACGUUAAGGGGACCGGUUAGUCCGCAAGGGCGAAGCUGAGAACUUAAGCGCCAGUAAACGGCGGUGGUAACUAUAACCAUCCUAAGGUAGCGAAAUUCCUUGUCGGGUAAGUUCCGACCUGCACGAAUGGCGUAACGACUUCCCUACUGUCUCAACCACAGGCCCGGCGAAAUUGCACUACGAGUAAAGAUGCUCGUUACGCGCGGAAGGACGGAAAGACCCCGGGACCUUCACUAUAGCUUGACAUUGGUAUCCGAAUUUAAUUGUGUAGGAUAGGUGGGAGGCUUUGAUCCGCGGACGCCAGUCCGUCGGGGAGCCAACGUUGAAAUACCACUCUGUUGAAUUUGGGUAUCUAACUUCGGACCGUGAUCCGGUUCAGGGACAGUGUCUGGUGGGUAGUUUAACUGGGGCGGUUGCCUCCUAAAAUGUAACGGAGGCGCCCAAAGGUUCCCUCAGCCUGGUUGGCAAUCAGGUGUUGAGUGCAAGUGCACAAGGGAGCUUGACUGUGAGACUGACAGGUCGAGCAGGGACGAAAGUCGGGACUAGUGAUCCGGCACCUGCGAGUGGAAGCGGUGUCGCUCAACGGAUAAAAGGUACCCCGGGGAUAACAGGCUGAUCUUCCCCAAGAGUCCAUAUCGACGGGAUGGUUUGGCACCUCGAUGUCGGCUCGUCGCAUCCUGGGGCUGGAGUAGGUCCCAAGGGUUGGGCUGUUCGCCCAUUAAAGCGGCACGCGAGCUGGGUUUAGAACGUCGUGAGACAGUUCGGUCCCUAUCCUCCGCGCGCGUAGGAGACUUGAGAAGAGCUGUCCCUAGUACGAGAGGACCGGGACGGACGAACCUCUGGUGUGCCAGUUGUCAUGCCAAUGGCACGGCUGGUUAGCUACGUUCGGAAGGGAUAACCGCUGAAAGCAUCUAAGCGGGAAGCUCGCUUCAAGAUGAGGUCUCCCACCCCUUUGAGGGUUAAGGCCCCCAGCUAGACCACUGGGUUGAUAGGCCAGAAGUGUAAGCCUGGUAACAGGUUCAGCCGACUGGUACUAAUAGGCCGAGGACUC
rnacentral:rRNA from 1 species